rnacentral:lncRNA from 1 species
AUUAUAUAUAUGUUGCUGCAUAUCAAAUUCGGUGGUAUAUAAUUCCGCUAAACAUACAAAAGCUGAUAUUGAUUCUCUUACAAAGAGGCAACAAGACUUUUGGUCUGAAUAUUGGUGGAUUAUUUAUAGCAUCUAUACAAUGUUUUGCUACGCUAGCAAAUACAUCUCUAUCUUAUUUUACAGUCAUGUAUUCUGUACGAUAAUGAUAGCAAAAUAUGCAUCAAAUUAUAGUUAAUGAGUCACAUAUUACA